CGCACACUGCGCCCCUUGGUAUUCCGGGGGGCAUGCCCGUUCGAGCGUCAUUUCACCAAUCAAGCCUGGCUUGGUAUUGGGCCACGGGGGCGACCCGGGCCUCAAAGUUCGCCGGCUGGAAAGCUCUGAUCUCAGCGUCGUGAUCAUCAAUUCGCUACGGAAAAGAGCGGUCUGCGCCGUGAAAUCUAUCACAGGUUGACCUCGGAUCGGGUAGGAAUACCCGCUGAACUUAA
rnacentral:misc_RNA from 1 species